CCGCCGUCCCUUAAGUCUUUUUGCUAUUUUCCCUUGUAUUAUCAUUAAACAUAUGCAAUGAAAUUUUGUUUAAAAGCUCUUAUAAUAGAAAGUUAUUGAACGUAGCAAAAUUCUUUUCAAUUUCCUACAGUUGUCCAAAAGAUAAGACGGUGAGAUUUUAUAACACUUCAUCUCACCAAACAUCAAGAUUCAGUUUUCUUGUCUUUCGUUUUCGUGGUUUACAUCAUUACCACACACGUGUUCACUGCAGAGUCAGUUUGUGUGUAGGGAAAUCUUGUGAAGCAGCUGCAGGAUGUCAACCAUCCAAGAUUGGAAAGCGUUUCUUCUCUCAGUUUAGUAGUGAUCAACAAAUAAAAUACUUUUCUUCAGCAGCGCCAUAAGUAGACUGGGUGUGAGUGAAACAGUUUCUUGGACACUGUGAGUGAUAGUGGUGUCAUUUUUUUUAUCAUGAAUAUUUAGCAAGCUUUAAUAGCAAUUAUUUUUCAAAUAAGUUUUCGUCAUGUGAGCAAUACUUAGAUGUUAGUUGUUAAUACAAGUCAUAGAAUCAUGUGAAAAUCAAAUAUAAAAUCUGAAUGAAAUAUGUCUAAAAGUUCUUUUACCAAUAGAGUUGUUUCUCACUCUAGUUAAUUAUGAUACAGGCUUUUUAUAAUUUGUCAAUUUUAAAUUUUUUCAUCCAAUUCUUCCAAACCAUGUUCAACUAUUUUCAGUUUGCUAGUCAAAUUAAAUGUCUAAGAUAAAA